UUUAUUUAAUCAAUGACCAAUAAAUUGUUGAAAUAAUUUAUGUAGGUGGUUGGUAUUGCUUAUAAAGUUUCACACCUAUUUGAAAUUUAAAAUAAUAACAGCUUAAAAUCAGAUUUGAAAUCACUCGACGAACAAAAAUGAUGUCGCCCAACUUUCUUCAAGGAAUAUUCGGCAUGGAUGGAGAUUUCAAUGGGGAAGAAGAUGACGGCGAUGAUGAUGGAACAGCUGUCGUUGGUUUAUUCUGUAUUAAAUGACAGAGACGUCGAACACCAAUCU